CCCCCCCCCCCCCCCCCCCCCCCCCUCCCUGUGACCGGGCCGAGCCGAUGUUUCAGUCGUCCCGAUGCGGUGCCCUGUACGUCUGUACGUGAGCGCCUUGCCGAUCUGGAUAUAUAUGUUCCCUCAACAAUCUGGAAUGGCAUCAGGAUUAUUGGAAAUAGAAGCUUUGUUCUGUCUGACCUUUUUCUGCAGUAGUAGUUCUUUUCAAGUCUAACUAUACAUAUGUAAUAAUAUUUUACAAUAACACAGAGGCUUCCAAAACGAUUCUUUCAAAACAAUUCUGGAUACGUUUGAUCCUCCCCCAAAUAUCACUGUAAUGUAUGUUAUCAUACAUUUAUGCUAUGUAUUUCAGUUUUCACCUCCACAUGAAUAUCAAUAGUCCCUGUACAUAUUGGAUUGCGAUUAUGCACUUUUAUUUACUGUAUAUAAUAUUAAUAGACAUUCUAUAUUCUGUUACAGAGCUGUAUUUUUAGAUAAUGGAAACAUUUCCAGCCUUCCCUUCAAUAGAAGUUAGGGCCGAGUACAAAAGCAUGACACUACCAUCCACAAACAGACACACGCAAUAGGAAAGCCAUUAGAUCGCCUAUUACAUGAUAAUGAUUGCAAACCACCAACCAUCCUUACAUGUGUUUCUGUUUUAUGCUGGGCUAUCUGUACAUGUAGGAAUGAUCUAAUCUUUGACAAAAAAAAAACCCUCUCUCACUUAUUUGCGAGUUCUUUUUUGAGUUACCUAUUGGCUAAGGUUUUGGAGUAAUCUGCAAAGGAAGGAUGAAGAUAAGGAUUUAAUAAAAGCAAGUUGCAGGUCCUUGGAGACAGUUGCUAUGCAGAUUUUUGCACACUUAGGUUACAUUUUUCUUUUGCGUAUGAUUUUGUUUAUUUUCAUUUCGAAUAUUUAAAAAAUAUCUAUAGUCAUUGUGCAUAUUAAAUUGCGAUUAUGCACCUUUAUUUAAUAUAUACAAUGUUAAUUGACAUUGUAUAUUCUGUUAUAGAGUUGUAUAGACCUCCUUUUUUUUCUUUUGCAUAUGGUUUUGUUUAUUUUCAUUGCAAAUAUGUGAACUUUGUAUACCUAUUAUCCAGUGAAGAGAUUAGAAAAGCUCCCAGCCGCCGAGGUCCUGCAGCGGGGACAGGUCGACAAGAAUGUUAUAAAUCUUAGAUUUUGAGUGAUCCCAACAAUCUCGCUGCCCCCAGUACUCCUGAUUUGAUUACUCAAAAUACGAUAUGCUGUUGGGAAAACAAGCAUGGUGGUGUCGCUUGCUGUUGCUAACCAUGAUGAAAGGUCAUUUCAAACUAUUUGCUUAACUUCAGCUUCCACUUAUAGCCUCAACUGAUAGAGGUAUAUGCAUGUUGCAAAAAAAACUUCUUUUUUUGCAAAAUAACUUUGUAAGAUACAUUUGCUUCUAGAGUCUGCUGGUUAGGCGCGGUGGCGGCCAUCCCUAUCAGUCACGCAGGUAUAUUUGGGAGUUGAGACCUCCGGUGGUUGGCUCGCAAAUAAAGGCCCCCCAAAGAGACGCAACUAGGACCAACCGCGAAGGCUCCAUGGGACCUUUGCUCGACCUCGACGACAACAGCAAAGCCUUUCGAGCCAAAGGCUACAUGCAAAAGAUGACGGGACGGGACAAGCAAAGGGCCUAGAACGUGACUAAAGCCACUCCGAGGGCCUUUUGGGAAAACUUCAAGGGCUAUGUGAUGGAGGGCCCUUGGACCAGGAUGCAGUUUAGCCUUCGCCUUUGAGGAUCUGAUGGCCCUGUAACCCUGGUAACGGCUCAACUAGGGCCCAUUCAGUGAGGCUAUUGUAAUGAAGAAUGACUCUUGAGCCCUUGUGAGGUAUUUAUAUACUCCCUCCGUUCACAUGAA